CUGUUUGCCAAGCCACGCCCCUCCGCCUCCGCCUCCGCACGGCCGAGCAACAACCGGUCUGCAGAAUCUCCCGUUGCACGCUCAGUACUGAUCUGCGCUCGCGCUGUUAACGAGCGACGUGCCCUCGGGUCUGUGUGAUCAUAUGAUGCUUAUACUCGGUAAUCAUAUGUGAAUGUGCGCGAGGAAGCUGAUGGAGGAACGCAUCGGCUGUGGAGUUCGGGCUGAAGUUGUGGACAGAUAAUGAUGACGGGGCUCAUUGAUCAGGGUGAGGACUUAGAGCUGACGGACCCUCAGAGGGACAAAGACCCCCAGUGUCCCGCACACUUCAGUCACAGUCUCAUAGUAGGUGUGCAGUAAAUCUUCACCCAGUUCCCACAGGUCUGUGCUUGUCGUGUUUGGGCAGGUUUGCGAUCGGGCCGGGCCACACGUCAUCCGUAACACCACAAACCCACGCUUCUGUUCUCACUGUUUGCUAAAACAUCUCCCCGCCUCAGACGGAGCAUAGUUACGUAACGAGUGCAUUUCAGCCCGAUCCAGCAGCUUUAUGAAACAGCGUCUCCAAAACACGAUCAGAUCUGAGAACCAGGGUUAUCAUUCACUGAAGCUGAAACCAUAAAUAAACAUUCAUUAAAAUAAAAAAACAACAACUUUCAGCUAGUUGCAUUUCUCGACA
rnacentral:lncRNA from 1 species